rnacentral:rRNA from 1 species
UACGUAGGGCGCAAGCGUUGUCCGGAAUUAUUGGGCGUAAAGAGCUCGUAGGCGGCUUGUCACGUCGGGUGUGAAAGCCCGGGGCUUAACCCCGGGUCUGCAUUCGAUACGGGCAGGCUAGAGUGUGGUAGGGGAGAUCGGAAUUCCUGGUGUAGCGGUGAAAUGCGCAGAUAUCAGGAGGAACACCGGUGGCGAAGGCGAGUCUCUGGACAUUUCCUGACGCUGAGGCACGAAAGCCAGGGGAGCAAACGGG